rnacentral:rRNA from 1 species
GAUGAACGCUAGCGGGAGGCCUAACACAUGCAAGCCGAGCGGUAGAGUUUCUUCGGAAACUUGAGAGCGGCGCACGGGUGCGUAACACGUGUGCAACCUACCUUUAUCUGGGGGAUAGCCUUUCGAAAGGAAGAUUAAUACCCCAUAAUAUAAUGAUUGGCAUCAAUUAUUAUUGAAAACUCCGGUGGAUAGAGAUGGGCACGCGCAAGAUUAGAUAGUUGGUAAGGUAACGGCUCACCAAGUCAAUGAUCUUUAGGGGUCCUGAGAGGGAGAUCCCCCACACUGGUACUGAGACACGGACCAGACUCCUACGGGAGGCAGCAGUGAGGAAUAUUGGACAAUGGGUGAGAGCCUGAUCCAGCCAUCCCGCGUGAAGGAUGACGGUCCUAUGGAUUGUAAACUUCUUUUGUACAGGGAUAAACCUACCCUCGUGAGGGUAGCUGAAGGUACUGUACGAAUAAGCACCGGCUAACUCCGUG